rnacentral:rRNA from 3 species
AGACCCGAAACCCGGUGAUCUAGCCAUGGGCAGGUUGAAGGUUGGGUAACACUAACUGGAGGACCGAACCGACUAAUGUUGAAAAAUUAGCGGAUGACCUGUGGCUGGGGGUGAAAGGCCAAUCAAACCGGGAGAUAGCUGGUUCUCCCCGAAAGCUAUUUAGGUAGCGCCUCGUGAAUUCAUCUCCGGGGGUAGAGCACUGUUUCGGCUAGGGGGCCAUCCCGGCUUACCAACCCGAUGCAAACUGCGAAUACCGGAGAAUGUUAUCACGGGAGACACACGGCGGGUGCUAACGUCCGUCGUGAAGAGGGAAACAACCCAGACCGCCAGCUAAGGUCCCAAAGUCAUGGUUAAGUGGGAAACGAUGUGGGAAGGCCCAGACAGCCAGGAUGUUGGCUUAGAAGCAGCCAUCAUUUAAAGAAAGCGUAAUAGCUCACUGGUCGAGUCGGCCUGCGCGGAAGA